UACGUAGGGGGCAAGCGCUGUCCGGAUUCACUGGGUGUAAAGGGUGUGUAGGCGGGCUGGCGUGUCGAUGGUGAAAGCCCUCCGCUCAACGGAGGAACUGCUGUCGAAACUACCAGCCUUGAGGACGGGAGAGGGAGCUGGAACUUCCGGUGUAGCGGUAAAAUGCGUGGAUAUCGGAAGGAACGCCAAUGGCGAAGGCAGGCUCCUGGAACGUUCCUGACGCUGAAACACGAAAGCUAGGGGAGCAAACAGG
rnacentral:rRNA from 2 species